GACAGCAUGGCAUAGUGGUUAAGUGUUGGACUGUGACUCUGGAGACCAGGAUUCGAUUCCCAGGUCAGCCA